rnacentral:tRNA from 1 species
GCGGAUGUAGCUCAAUGGUAGAGCCUCAGCCUUCCAAGCUGAUUACGCGGGUUCGAUUCCCGUCAUCCGCU